CUAAGGUAGCGAAAUUCCUUGUCGGGUAAGUUCCGACCUGCACGAAUGGCGUAACGAUGGCGGCGCUGUCUCCACCCAAGACUCAGUGAAAUUGAACUCGCUGUGAAGAUGCAGUGUACCCGCGGCAAGACGGAAAGACCCCGUGAACCUUUACUAUAGCUUUGCACUGAACUUUGAACCUACUUGUGUAGGAUAGGUGGGAGGCUUUGAAGCAGAGACGCCAGUCUUUGUGGAGCCAUCCUUGAAAUACCACCCUGGUAUGUUCGGAGUUCUAACCUAGGUCCGUGAUCCGGAUCGGGGACAGUGCAUGGUGGGUAGUUUGACUGGGGCGGUCUCCUCCGAAAGCGUAACAGAGGAGCACGAAGGUUGGCUAAUCACGGUCGGAAAUCGUGAGGUUAGUGCAAGAGCAUAAGCCAGCUUGACUGCGAGACAGACACGUCGAGCAGGGUCGAAAGACGGUUCUAGUGAUCCGGUGGUUCUGUAUGGAAGGGCCAUCGCUCAACGGAUAAAAGGUACUCCGGGGAUAACAGGCUGAUACUGCCCAAGAGUCCAUAUCGACGGCAGUGUUUGGCACCUCGAUGUCGGCUCAUCACAUCCUGGGGCUGAAGCAGGUCCCAAGGGUAUGGCUGUUCGCCAUUUAAAGUGGUACGCGAGCUGGGUUCAGAACGUCGUGAGACAGUUCGGUCCCUAUCUGCCGUGGGCGUUGGAGAUUUGAGGGAAGCUGACCUUAGUACGAGAGGACCGGGUUGGACGAACCUCUGGUGUUCCGGUUGUCACGCCAGUGGCACAGCCGGGUAGCUACGUUCGGAAGGGAUAACCGCUGAAAGCAUCUAAGCGGGAAGCCCCUCCCAAGAUUAGAUCUCCCUGGGAACUUGAUUCCCCUAAAGAGCCGUGGAAGACCACCACGUUGAUAGGCUGGAUGUGGAAGCGCAGUAAUGCGUGCAGCUAACCAGUACUAAUGACUCGUGAGGCUUGACCAU
rnacentral:rRNA from 1 species